rnacentral:sRNA from 1 species
AAGAAAGGUAAGGGCCCUGGGCGAGGAAACCGCGGCCCUUUCCGAGUUUGGUGUUUUGCGGCGAAAGGAAAUCUCGCUCUUCCGAAAGUCCUCCAGGGCGAGAGAGGAAAGGGCCUAGGUACUGUGCUGGGGUCGCACAGCCGGCCGAGACAGUGCCGGGACGGGGAGCCAGGCUUCCUAGUGCGCCCGGUCACUGACUCCUCCGCGCUUUCCUCGUGCGCCUGCAGCCCUUGGUUCUUGGAAACGCCGGCGCCUUGUUCAGGGCUGGUGGGGCUGGGGCGCAAGGUGCAGCUGACAAUGCCUGAGAGGAGCCGCAGCCUCUGGUGGAGUUCGGUCGGGUGUGGGGGUAGUCAGGGAAAGAAGCAAAGGGAAUACCUCCUCUGAAAAAUGGCAGAAGCAGUUUUCCAUGCCCCAAAGAGGAAAAGAAGAGUGUAUGAGACUUACGAGUCUCCAUUGCCAAUCCCUUUUGGUCAGGACCAUGGUCCUCUGAAAGAAUUCAAGAUAUUCCGUGCUGAAAUGAUUAACAACAAUGUGAUUGUGAGGAAUGCAGAGGACAUUGAGCAGCUCUAUGGGAAAGGUUAUUUUGGAAAAGGUAUUCUUUCAAGAAGCCGUCCAAGCUUCACAAUUUCAGAUCCUAAACUGGUUGCUAAAUGGAAAGAUAUGAAGACAAACAUGCCUAUCAUCACAUCAAAGAGGUAUCAGCGUAGUGUUGAGUGGGCAGCAGAGCUGAUGCGUAGACAGGGGCAGGAUGAGAGUACAGUGGGCAGAAUCCUCAAGGAUUACACGAAACCGCUUGAGCAUCCUCCUGUGAAAAGGGAUGAAGAGGCUCAAGUGCAUGACGAGCUUAACUCUGGAAUGGUUUCCAACAUGGAAGGCACAGCAGGGGGAGAGAGACCUUCUGUGGUAAACGGGGACUCUGGAAAGUCAGGUGGUGUGGGUGAUCCCCGUGAGCCAUUAGGCUGCCUGCAGGAGGGCUCUGGCUGCCACCCAACAACAGAGAGCUUUGAGAAAAGCGUGCGAGAGGACGCCUCACCUCUGCCCCACGUCUGUUGCUGCAAACAAGAUGCUCUCAUCCUGCAGCGUGGCCUUCAUCAUGAAGACGGCAGCCAGCACAUCGGCCUCCUGCAUCCUGGGGACAGAGGGCCUGACCAUGAGUACGUGCUGGUCGAGGAAGCGGAGUGUGCCAUGAGCGAGAGGGAGGCUGCCCCAAAUGAGGAAGCCUUCUUCUUGGUCUAUGCUCUGGGAUGUUUAAGUAUUUACUAUGAGAAGGAGCCUUUAACGAUAGUGAAGCUCUGGAAAGCUUUCACUGUAGUUCAGCCCACGUUCAGAACCACCUACAUGGCCUACCAUUACUUUCGAAGCAAGGGCUGGGUGCCCAAAGUGGGACUCAAGUACGGGACAGAUUUAUUGCUAUAUCGGAAAGGCCCUCCAUUUUACCAUGCAAGUUAUUCUGUCAUUAUCGAGCUAGUCGAUGACCAUUUUGAAGGCUCUCUCCGCAGGCCUCUCAGUUGGAAGUCCCUGGCUGCCUUGAGCAGAGUUUCCGUUAAUGUCUCUAAGGUAACACAACAUCAGCUUUGCCAUUGGAGUGUCACUGAGAUGGUUCAGUUUUUUUUUUUUUCUUAAAUGUAGUAGAAUCAAAAAAGUUAGUUGUAGAAACUUCAUAACAUUCCUGCCAGUGACAUGCUGGAAGAUUUGGGGUCAUUCGUACCCUUCCCUUAUUGCGCUAGAAGUUGUCCUCCCCUCAUGUUACAUUUUAUUGUCCCCUCCCUCCCAGCUGCUGCUGAGUUCCAAUGACGGAGCUUUGGAGUGUCCCGUGGUGAUCUGAUCUGGGUAGGCAUUGCUUCUCUUCCCAGGGGUAUCGUUGCUAUGUGACUUGUUUUAUACUGCAAUUUAACAUCACUCAUACACAUAUUCACAAAGGAGUCAAAACAUUGAAAGUUUGCAGAUCUCUUAGAGAGGAAGGGACUUGAUAUUUGUUGCUAAGCACUUUCCCACCCUGUUGUUAUCCUCAUCCUGAGGAUGAGAAACCACGGUUGGAGCCGUUGAGUGUCUAAUCCAAGAUCACACAGCUCAUGUGCAGACUCGGGAUCCAAACCCACAGCUCUCUGGCUCCCUGGCUUUUGUUUCACUAUAUCCUUCGUGUUGCCAUCAGAGAUAGGAGGGACUCAGCUUACACAAGGACUAUCAAGAAAGAAAGCUGUGUGUGUUCUCAUUACUCAGUGAUUUGCUGGCUGAAAACAAAUUGUAGAUACCCUCUAAUUUCAUCCUCAUGCUGCUGGAGGUGAGGUGGGGCUGAGGCCAGAGGGUCUUGCAGGGCUAGAGAUGACUGCCCUUUAGAGCAGGUUAGGUUGCCUAGGCUUUAGCUUGGUCCUAUAGAAAAUUAGGGAGCCUAUACUGUUUCUAGAAUUUUUAUGCUCAUUUUAGGGGACUUGUAGCAUAUACUUAAUAUGUCCUCACUUAACAUUAUUGAUAUGUUCUUGGAAACUGCAACUUUAAUGUCGUAUAACAAAACCGUUUUUUCUUCUCAUCAUUUCAAGAAAAUAAUGUUGAAGUUUAUUUGAAGACCUGCUGUACAUCUGUAUUAGUCCGUUCUCAUGCUGCUAGAAAGAAAUACUUGAGACUGGGUAAUUUAUAAUGAAAAGAGGUUUAAUUGACUCACAGUUCCAUGUGGCUGGGGAGGCCUCAGGAAACUUACAAUCAUGGUGGAAGGCACCUCUUCAGAGGGUGGCAGGAGCAAGAAUGAGAGGACGAGUGAAGGAGGAAGCCCCUUAUAAAACCAUCACAUCUCAUGAGAACUCACUGUCACAAGAACAGCAUGGGGACCGUCCCCCAUAAUCUAAUCACCUCCCACGAGGUCCCUCCAUGACACGUGGGGAUUGUGGGAACUACAAUUCAAGAUGAGAUUUGGGUGGGGGCACAGCCAAACCGUAUCAACAUCAUUUCACUUAAAGUCUGUGUCCAAGAACCUAUCAAGGACAUUUGAGGACUUACUAUAUUUAGUAUUCUUAAUGCUGUGUUUAUAAUCAAUGUAUCUGCUUAUAUCUGUUGCCAUGUUCAGUGAUUACUAAACGGCAGGUACUUAGUCAGAACGUAAAUCCCAGUUAUGGUUUCCCCAGGAGGAAACUGAUGUGCUCUGUGAGUUUCCACUUGGAGUGCACAGUGAGAGGGACUGGAGACCACCUGCAUUUCCUGCUGAUGCACCCAAAUUUGUACUAUUAUUUUGUAGGAUACAGAAGUGGUUUUUCAUUUCUCAAUAGGAACUUAUGCUGUGCUAUUUGAUUAAACCCUCUACUAUGACUGACAAGGAAAUGGAGUCACCAGAAUGUAUGAAAAGGAUUAAAGUUCAGGAGGUGAUUCUGAGUCGAUGGGUUUCUUCACGAGAGAGGAGUGACCAAGACGAUCUUUAACAAUUCAACCUCAAAUUUCUAAUUUCACCAACAACUAUUUAUUGAGGGCUAGUCUCACUCUGUCGUCCAGGCUGGAGUCCAAUGCUGCGAUCUUGGAUCACUGCAACCUCUGCCUGCUGGGUUUAAGCGAUUCUCGUGCCUCAGCCUCCUGAGUAGCUGGGAUUACAGGCACGCACCACCACACACGGCUAAUUUUUGUAUUUUUAGUAGAGACGGGGUUUCACCAUGUUGGCCAGGCUGGUCUGGAACUCCUGACCUCAAGUGAUCUGCCCACCUUGGCCUCCCAAAGUGCUGAGAGUACAGGCGUGAGCCACUGCAUCCGGCUCUUAGCAUGUGCUUUUAAAGUAAAAACCACGAGGAGAAGGUACUCAUUACUUCAUAACUUGUGUCUCACCCACCUUGCUGUCUUCACAUCCCCACUUUCUGUAUGCACAUUGGAAGGUGAAUUUGUUCAGCUCACAUUAAUUUAUAGGAAUAAUUUUCAUUGCUCUGUGAAUAAAAUGUGCUACCACUUU